GACGAACGCUGGCGGCGUGCUUAACACAUGCAAGUCGAACGAAGUGGCGAACGGGUGAGUAACGCGUAAUCAACCUGCCCUUCAGAGGGGGACAACAGUUGGAAACGACUGCUAAUACCGCAUACUGAGGGGGGGGAUGGCGGUGGAUUAGCUAGUUGGGGGGUAAAGGGCCCAUCAAGGCGAUGAUAAGUAGCCGGUCUGGGAGGAUGAACGGCCACGUUGGUACUGAGACACGGCCCAGACUCCUACGGGAGGCAGCAGUGGGGAAUCUUCCGCAAUGGACGAAAGUCUGACGGAGCAACGCCGCGUGAGUGAUGACGGCCUUCGGGUUGUAAAGCUCUGUUAAUCGGGACGCGGUACCGGAAUAGAAAGCCACGGCUAACUACGUGCCAGCAGCCGCGGUAAUAC
rnacentral:rRNA from 1 species